CAGGAAUCGCGUUACAAAUUUCAUCCCUAGAAAGAAGCUUGACUUGCUCCUUUAAGGGUUAAGAGGUAGGAGGUCAAAGGCACAGCGCUUAGGAGCUGGGAUUUAAAUUGGCUACAGGGAACCUGAAAACAAAGGGUGUUCACAUUAGCAACCGUGGCUCCUUGCUUUGUCUAGGACAAAGUGUGUGCAAAAUAGCCCAGGCGGCCGUGCCGGGCUACGGCCUCCGCCGAAUUUCACUUUACAGCCUGUCUUUCCAGAACUGGCAUCAUUAAUUUGUAUGCUGCCCGAAAGCUGUCCUUUUCCCAAAGCCCUCCUCACAAAGCAGAUGCAGACCUCCAGAAGUGCACCGGAAAUAGGAGUCAAUUUCAAGUGUCAGAAACCAAGACCCCUGACUGGUUCGGCAUCUGUCCCUGCAAGACUUAGAAAACCAACCCAGUGCUUAAGAGGGAGAAGGAGAGAUGAAAGAUGAAAGACGGAGCAGCGGAAUCAAGAGAAGGAAUUAGCAGAACAGGACAAUGUGGUUUCAAUGGUUUUCUGUGACUGUUUCAGGAACAACAGUUCCUUGAUUUGGACUUGCUCCUGGAGAGAAAUGAAGAUCAGUGCAUUGAGGCUCCGAAGGAUAAAGUGACUUCUCCGUCGCUCACAGCCGUACCUACCCUUGGCGUCAGUCAGUAAUUGCUUCUGAAGCUACGCACAUCAUCAUCAUUAAAACCGUGGCAUUAAUAGGCAUAUUCUAUCUAGAACAGGGGGGCUUGAUGAUCCUGUUGCCGUCCAGACUGGUCGUAUCAGGACUGUGAAGGGUAGCAGAACAUGCUGCUUUGGCCCCAGGAUUAUUUGGAGCUGGAGGCAGUUGAGAAAAAGCAGGUACCAGAAAGCUCAAAGCGGGUGCCAGAAAGCUCUCUGCCCUCCCCAGUUGCCUCAAAGCGGAACAUAAAUUUGGAAUGGUGUCCCCUCCUCCCUUCUCAACUGGGAAAGAAAGAAGUUAAUCACCAGAGAUAACUGAGACCCUUAUCAGCCCAGAGCCCGGCACCAAAGGAACGUAUAUAACCAACUAUGCUAAAACUAGCCCUUGUCUACCAUUGGUUUUCCUAUAUAUUUGCCACCCUAGAAACUCAGGUGGCUUCUCUACAAAUUUCUUUACAAAUGUAUCACUCUUCUAUUAAGAUCCUAUACACGCCAAAGCUCUAACCACCCCUCUGAGUUACCCAUCACAGAGCACUCCCAUCUGUAUCCGAUGCACAUGCCAAUAAACUUUUGUUUUUCUCUCAUUCAUUUGUCUUUAUCAGUGUAACUUGCAGGGCCCCACCAAUGAAUAAAAGGCAAGUAGAGAGAAAACAGGAACUUACCUGGAAGUCAGGCUCCCCUCUUUAUGUUGGGGAGAGACUCAGUACAAUCUAAGAACACAUCAACCAGGACGGAGGAGGAGUUCAAAAUUGCCGUAUGAGAGAUGGUCGAGGGACUGAGAGAAAAAGAAAAUACCAGGAAGACGUGGUAACUGUCUUAACCUAUUUCAAAGGCUGUCAUGUUGAAGAGGGAUUAGAUUUACACUCUGGCCCCAAGGGGCAAAGCAGAACCAACUGGCUGAAGGCUCCUCGUGAGAAAUAUUUCAAUAAAGAAAGAACUUUCUAACAGGGCAAAGAUAUGCACGAAUGGAGGUGACUGGUGUG